rnacentral:rRNA from 1 species
GCUCUAAUCCGUAGCAAUACGGGAUGGGCGCACGGCGCACGGGUGCGUAACACGUGGGCAAUCUGCCCUCUGAUGGGGAAUAACCCGCCGAAAGGCGGGCUAAUUCCGCAUAAGAUUCCCGGAACUUCGGUUCUGGGAUUGAAAGCAGUAAUGCGUCGGAGGAGGAGCCCGCGCCCGAUUAGCUAGUUGGUGAGGUAACGGCUCACCAAGGCAAUGAUCGGUAGCUGGUCUGAGAGGAUGAUCAGCCACACUGGAACUGAGACACGGUCCAGACUCCUACGGGAGGCAGCAGUGGGGAAUCUUGCACAAUGGGCGAAAGCCUGAUGCAGCGACGCCGCGUGGGGGAUGAAGCAUUUCGGUGUGUAAACCCCUUUCGACUGGGAAGAAUGCCUCGCAAGAGGAGUGACGGUACCAGUAGAAGAAGCCCCGGCUAACUACGUGCCAGCAGCCGCGGUAAGACGUAGGGGGCCAGCGUUGUUCGGAAUUACUGGGUGUAAAGGGUUCGUAGGCGGUGCGGCAAGUUGGGAGUGAAAUCUCUGGGCUUAACCCAGAGGCUGCUUCCAAAACUGCUGUGCUCGAGUGUGAGAGAGGCUCGUGGAAUUGCAGGUGUAGCGGUGAAAUGCGUAGAUAUCUGCAGGAACACCCGUGGCGAAAGCGGCGAGCUGGAUCACUACUGACGCUGAGGAACGAAAGCUAGGGGAGCAAACAGGAUUAGAUACCCUGGUAGUCCUAGCCCUAAACGAUCAGGACUUGGGGUGCCGCCCGUUCGGGCGUCGUCCCGGAGCUAACGCGUUAAGUCCUGCACCUGGGGAGUACGGUCGCAAGACUGAAACUCAAAGGAAUUGACGGGGGCCCGCACAAGCGGUGGAACAUGUGGUUCAAUUCGACGCUACCCGAGGAACCUUACCUGGGCUCGAAUGCUAGUGAC